ACAAGUUACAAGUACUUAAUAACUAGUCCAGCCUGCCAACGGAUGCAUCAUUCUUUUUUUUAUGACCUUACAAGUACUUCACUUGUUGUGGCACCAUCAUGUAUUAGUAAUGUGUAUGGUGAUCAAAACUAUAUCUGACUGGAAUUUAUAUACAUCACCAUCAUCAUCAAUUCAGCAUGAGAUUAAUCAAUAAGAAUUUAACUGCCAUUUCUGCAGUAAUGUGUAUGGUCAUCAAAACUGUAUAAGGUUGAUUAAGAAUUUGUGUUGAUCUAGACUUGCUCGAGUCUUAUCUUUUCUUUUUUCAUUUCUUUUUUACGCAAAGUAUCUUUUCUUUUUCGGUACUAACCUAUAUAUUAGGCAAAUUCUACCGUACCCAAUACUCCACCUGGCUUCGAUGGAGUAUUGGGGAAGGGCACUUCCGUCUUUUCAUAUUUUCGCCUUAGUAAAAAAUUAAAAAAUAUCACAGAUCCUUUCCCUAAGCUUUCCCCGAUGCCUUCUUCCUAAUCACAGCGAGCCACCGCCCUUCUCCCAGCCCGCGCCCUGCCGUCCUCCCUUUCUACAGGCAUCCACCGCCGUCUCCCUACUCACAGAGCACCACCGCCCUACCCCUCCUCACAGCGGGCGGCCGCUCCGCUCCAUCCUGACCUAUUCCCAGCCCG
rnacentral:lncRNA from 1 species